GCAACCAUAGUGUAGUGGUUAACAUGCUCGCCUUCCAUUAAAGUUAAAGGUAGCGAGCGGCCCGGGUUCGAGCCCCGGUGGUUGCA